UACGUAGGGUGCGAGCGUUGUCCGGAAUUACUGGGCGUAAAGAGCUCGUAGGUGGUUUGUCGCGUUGUUCGUGAAAACUCACAGCUCAACUGUGGGCGUGCGGGCGAUACGGGCAGACUGGAGUACUGCAGGGGAGACUGGAAUUCCUGGUGUAGCGGUGGAAUGCGCAGAUAUCAGGAGGAACACCGGUGGCGAAGGCGAGUCUCUGGGCAGUAACUGACGCUGAGGCGCGAAAGCCAGGGGAGCAAACGGG
rnacentral:rRNA from 1 species